rnacentral:rRNA from 1 species
UGGCGGCGUGCUUAACACAUGCAAGUCGAACGAUGAAGCUGGUACUUGUACUGGUGGAUUAGUGGCGAACGGGUGAGUAACACGUGAGUAACCUGCCCUUCACUUUGGGAUAAGCCUUGGAAACGGGGUCUAAUACCGGGUAUACACAUACUGUCGCAUGGUGGUGUGUGGAAAGCUUUUGUGGUGAGGGAUGGACUCGCGGCCUAUCAGCUUGAUGGUGGGGUAGUGGCCUACCAUGGCUUUGACGGGUAGCCGGCCUGAGAGGGUGACCGGCCACACUGGGACUGAGACACGGCCCAGACUCCUACGGGAGGCAGCAGUGGGGAAUAUUGCACAAUGGGCGGAAGCCUGAUGCAGCGACGCCGCGUGGGGGAUGAAGGCUUUCGGGUCGUAAACUCCUUUCAGCAGGGACGAAGCUUUUGUGACGGUACCUGCAGAAGAAGCACCGGCUAACUACGUGCCAGCAGCCGCGGUAAUACGUAGGGUGCGAGCGUUGUCCGGAAUUAUUGGGCGUAAAGAGCUUGUAGGCGGUUUGUCGCGUCUGCCGUGAAAGCCCAGGGCUUAACCCUGGGUCUGCGGUGGGUACGGGCAGACUAGAGUGUGGUAGGGGAGACUGGAAUUCCUGGUGUAGCGGUGAAAUGCGCAGAUAUCAGGAGGAACACCGAUGGCGAAGGCAGGUCUCUGGGCCACUACUGACGCUGAGAAGCGAAAGCAUGGGGAGCAAACAGGAUUAGAUACCCUGGUAGUCCAUGCCGUAAACGUUGGGAACUAGGUGUGGGCCUCAUUCCACGAGGUCCGUGCCGUAGCUAACGCA